CCUACGGGUGGCAGCAGUGAGGAAUAUUGGUCAAUGGACGAGAGUCUGAACCAGCCAAGUAGCGUGAAGGAUGACUGCCCUAUGGGUUGUAAACUUCUUUUAUAUGGGAAUAAAAUGUUCCACGUGUGGGAUUUUGUAUGUACCAUAUGACUAAGGAUCGGCUAACUCCGUGCCAGCAGCCGCGGUAAUACGGAGGAUCCGAGCGUUAUCCGGAUUUAUUGGGUUUAAAGGGAGCGUAGGUGGAUUGUUAAGUCAGUUGUGAAAGUUGGCGGCUGAACCGUAAAAUUGCAGUUGAAACUGGCAGUCUUGAGUACAGUAGAGGUGGGCGGAAUUCGUGGUGUAGCGGUGAAAUGCUUAGAUAUCACGAAGAACUCCGAUUGCGAAGGCAGUUCACUGGACUGCAACUGACACUGAGGCUCGAAAGUGUGGGUAUCAAACAGGAUUAGAUACCCCGGUAGUC
rnacentral:rRNA from 1 species